AAUGGAUCAUGGAAGAAGAAGUAGUUUGACAAGUAUGAGAAGAGGAAGAGGACAUCUCUAUGUUCUAUAUAAAUCAAAAUUUCUACUGAUUGAGAGUCUUAGCCCAAUCUUAGUGGGGAAAGAUGUUGAGGAAACAGAUACAACAAAAUACCAGGAACAAGAAGUAUCUCCUACAUCACUGAAGAUGACUUUCUUUAGUUACAACUGAAUUCUGGCUCCUUCUGACGCUCAUCUCAGGCUGAAUGGUCUCCCACAUGGUUUCUGAUGGAUGUUCAACCCACAUUCGUGUC